AUUGUUUACUGCAUUUAACUACGAUGUCUGACGAAAAUGAAAAUCUCAGUAAUUCGGAGACAUAGUUAUUGAUGAGAGUACGGUUGAAUAUGGAGGACGAGUUUAAAUCGGGUAGAAGGAAAAAAAAUGUAUUGUGGAAGAAAGUUGUGACCGAAGUUAAAAAUGUAAAU